UACGAAGGGGGCUAGCGUUGCUCGGAAUCACUGGGCGUAAAGCGCACGUAGGCGGCUUUCUAAGUCAGGGGUGAAAUCCUGGAGCUCAACUCCAGAACUGCCUUUGAUACUGGGAAGCUCGAGUCCGGAAGAGGUGAGUGGAACUCCGAGUGUAGAGGUGAAAUUCGUAGAUAUUCGGAAGAACACCAGUGGCGAAGGCGACACACUGGCCCGUUACUGACGCUGAGGCGCGAAAGCGUGGGGAGCAAACAGG
rnacentral:rRNA from 1 species